CACCGCCAUGUUGUUGGUAAGUGUCCUGUGUGUAUCAAUUUGCUUAAGGUUCAAUCCGACCGUUGGAUCGCGCUCAAAGUUUUACAGAAGUUUUCGGAGGCCGAACCCCAGACUUAACACCAAGUCUUUUCCUUCUAUGUUUGCACGAAUAACCGACACCAACUAGUUGAAGGUCUCUUCUCAAAAUUUUGAUACUCCCACCGCCAUGUUGUUGGUAAGUGUCCUGUGUGUAUCAAUUUGCUUAAGGUUCAAGUAAGGCAUAAAAAGAAGGCCUUGGCGAACAUUUUCCAAGGCAGGUAUCGAUAUUUCUGUAUUUAGUUUCUCCUGUCCUUGAUGUCCAUAUCAGUAUAAAAAGUUUCUGAGAAAAUCCUUAACAGAUACUGCCAUGAAGAUAGGCACUUUGGGUAGAAUAUCAAACAGCUAGCGGUGUUUAUUUUCUCAUACAAA
rnacentral:lncRNA from 1 species